rnacentral:lncRNA from 1 species
CACUGAAAUGCUGAGACAACUGUUCCUUCUCCUCCCUUGAGCUAAGACCCUGAAAGCUGAACCAGUACCAUCUCCUUGGAGCACCUUCUGAGGGUCCCUCUAGCCUACAAAGUGUAGUCAAGUGGAAUUUGUGCGCUUUCCUGAUUCAGGCCCAAUCCAGUCUUCCUAUGCCAGCCACAGAGCAGUCCCAUACUCCCUUCUGCUCAAUCCUACCCUGCCUCUUCUGCCUGUGAGUAUCCUAUUCACUUGGCUUGGAUUACCUUUCUUGCUCAUCUGCAGUAGACUUUACCAAUGCUCCCUGCUAUCUGGAUCUCUUCCACGUUCAGAGCAGCUGUGUCUCAUAAGAUGUUAAUACUGCAGAUGUCCUGAGAAGUAUGUGUCUUCCAUGGUCAAAAGCGUACAGGUAGCAGACCAGCAAGUUAACUACAUAAUCACAUCUCUCAGUAGAACGUGACUACCAUUCCUGCAAGAACCUUAAACAAACACUUAUCACCAUCAAGAUGCCUAUUCUGGCAGAAGCCCAUUCCUCCAUCUGCAUGGAUGAUCAGAACAGAAAACAAUCCGGGAAUAUGUUGCUGUUUAGAAUUGGUUGUUGUGAGGACAAACCGAAGUGAUUCAUAAAGCACUGUACAAAUUCAGAGUAUCACAGUGAUGACUGAACACUCUGGAUUCAGGAAAUCCUUCAGCUGGAAGUCUUGCUAGGACAGAGGUAUGUGCUGUAUUGCUCCCUGAGAGGAAACCUGAUGUAAAACAAACUCAGCCUCAAGGCUGAUGUGCCUCUGAAUCUCCCCUCAGAGCAGCUAACGGCUCUAGAACUAAUAAGGUCCCAGUGGACUUUUUCUUUAAAGAAGCUUUUAAUGUUACCAGGAACUGACAGCAACGCUGUCCACAUCAAUCCCACUCAGACCCCAGCCUCUGGAAGACAUGACCUUAGAAACUCUGCAGAACUUUUCUGUCACGUUCCACCUAUGUCAACAUUCAUGCCACCCACUGUCCCAUGUCGAGUUCUAAGAAGUUAAGAUCUGUACCUGUUAAAAUGGACUUCUAGAUUUCCAAAAAAGAGUUUCAUGGGACUGUGGGCAUUUCACAUAGUUAGGCUAUCCACGGGCCUGGCCUUUCCAGAAAUGGUCAACUUCAUGUAAUCUUCUUAUCCAUAAAGGCAAAGAUUAAUUAAAUGUGUAACUAAAUAUAAUUAAUUUUUAUAACUCUCUUACAUAUUUAUUUAAAUAAACCCAUAAAUCAGAAAUGACGUUUUUUUUCCUCAGACUGAUCUUCUUGAGACUUGAUUUUUUUACUUGGAAAAUAUAGUUACUGUAAAUACUAUAAACUCUGGUUAACCAGCAUGUUCAGAGAAUAUAAAGCUGUAGUAACCUUUAAAUGCAAAGGAAGAGGAGGAGGAGGAGGAGGAGGAGGAAGAAAAGGAAGAGGAGGAGGAAGAGUGAUAAUUAAUAUCAAAUACAUUAAUACAAGCAGGUUUUAUUAACUGUACUUUUAACAGAUGAUGAAACACAUUCAGAGAGACCCAACAGCAAGUAAAUUACAAUGCCAGAAUUAGAACCCAAAUUUGGCUCACUCAGAGGCGCUCAAUCUCUGCUUCAUUCAGGUCUCUGCUCAAACAUUACCUCCUUACAGAGGCCUUCCUUGACCACACGAUUGAAAAUGUCCCAGCUGUCAGCCUGGCUCCCUCCUUCCCUGCCAUCAACUUGCUGUCUUUUUCAGUCCCCUUACCUGGCUUUAGUUUCCUUCAUAGUACUUAGCUGUAUGUUUGUUUAAAAACAUGUCUCCUGUUUGAUAGAAUGCAAGUUAAGCAGGGAUUUUAAAUUAUUCACUGCUUUAUCUCUAAUGCCUAGAAUAGUGUCUGAGACAUAAUUGGUACUAAAUGAACAAACGAAUAAAAGACCCUAAAAUGCAUGCAUUUUUCAUUACGUCUCACUGAAAGGGAACAGUAAGAAAGCGGAUACAUAUAUACACUGCAUUAUGUCAUAAUUCUUUCAUGAUCUGGGUGGUAUGAUUAUAGAAUAAAGGUUCAAAUUGAUUGUGGAGAUCACUCAUUAAUAUUUCUACUAAGGGAAAAGAGUAGCUGUCUCCUAGAAACUGAAGGAACCCUUUACAACUGUAGCAGUGUGCUCUUUUUCACACUCACAAUCUCUCCUUCCUAUCAACUCUGACAUAAGAAUACACAGGACUCUUUUCACGACAAGUCCAAGAAUUUGGUUAGAUUAUUUUUGCCAUAUAAAGGACCAUUUAAUACCAAAACAAACCUCCCACAUCAAACAGUUAAUUCCACAACCACGAAACCUCUUCUGACUCACCAAGAAAAGCCACAUCAACACAGGCACAAGGGAUUCAUUUAUUACACCAAAAGAGUCUCUUCAGUACUUCUUAAGUAACUAUAAUUUUUGGUCAUUUAAAUAAUUUUGCAUUUAAUGUAGGCUCUACUUCCAGAUUUUUCUGAAACUGAUGGAAGACAUACCUAAUAAAAAUGCAUUUCAAGAAAAAGAAACAGAUUAUGAACAUCUCGUUUCAUCUGGGUUUAUGUGAGACUUAACAUUCACUAUUCUUACUAGACAUUCUCCCUGGGAAGGUAAAACUUUUUUAAAAAGUAAUGCCUCCAAGGUACAUCGUGAAGGCAGACAUCUGCUUUAUUCAGGCAAAGUAAGUGCCCAGUAAGUGUUGGCUCACCAGAUCAUGUAUGUCUUUCACAUAGCAAAUAUUCCGAGUUCUAAGUCACAAAUCGAAUACUCAACAAUUCCGCCUAGAAUAGAGGAGUAACCAUGUCUGUGGGAGGGGGAAGGGUUGGGAAGAGAUCUGUUCUUCUUCCUGAUACCCAUGAGCAGAAUACUGUCACACAGACCUAUUUUGUGUUUUUAUAAUUACCCAAAUUCUCUUCUUUUGUCAGAAUUCAUUCUCAGUAACAGCUUGAGCAAUGUAGCAAUCGUGCUCUGAAAUGACUUGUAAACCACAGACACAAAUAUUUGGGCCAAGAAUGUGGAAUCCAUUGCUGUCACAUUCCAUUAUUUCUGGUGGAGCAAUUCACUAACAUUUUGGAAUCUAGAUCAUAAAUUAUGCAGAGCCUCAGCAAAAGAGCUGAGGAAACAAACUGCUGUAAUAAAACUCCUGUUACUGGAGCCAUAAAAACAGAACAAAGGAAAGGCAAAGAAGAAAAAUAGUGGUUGGACUUUUCUGACAUGCCUUGUCCACCAUUGUUACUGGUUUCAAAAAUGAUAAUGUAACAAUCGGAAAACCAUCAGGCAAGCCAAAAAUGAUACAAUAGGCAUACUGUCAUUCAUAAACAUCACCACCACCAUGAGAGUCCCCAGAAUAAAAUUAGCUUUUUGAAGAAUGCCUGAAUGUUGACAUAAAUUAAAGUGCCUAAAUGUACAUACAACCAAGCCAUCUGUACAUUUUUCAUGACUCUCCAGGGGUGUGAAAUGUCCUUCAACAACAGCACUUGGAUAGUGGUCGCAUUUUCUGUUGGGACAUAUCAUAAAUGUCAGAGGGAGAAAGAGAUCUGUGUCACAUGUGAACUGAAGCAGGUCCCUUUCCCUCUCUGUGGAAACUGACUUAAUGGCAGAGCUGGGACUAAAACCCACAUCUCUUGACUCCCAAGAUAAGAAUGACUUUUAUUUUGCAGUAUGAUGCCUAGAGCAUGGUAGGGGCUCAAAAAUUACUUUGUGAACGGAAGAAUGACAGAAUGAAUGGAUAGGUGAGUAAAUGAAUAAAUGGACAAAUGAAUAAAGAAGUAACAGAACCAUUCCCUGUGGUUUGAUGCUUACAGUCAGAAAAGGUCAAAAAGGGACAUAUCAUUGAAACACUUUAGAAAUAAAAUAGAGAACUGAAAAGCCAGAUGGUCCAUGCUUAGCAAACAUUCCAAAAAGCCACUGCUAACUCCAAGAACUCUUUCUUUUCAAUUAUAACAUUGUGUUGGAGAGCACUGGUGUAUCUAUCUCAAGAGAAAUAAUGAAUGUGAGAAUAAAAAUGGGUGAACAUGUUUCUUAAAUAAGACUGCUAUAAUUUAACACCCAUUUAGUAUGACUCCCUUUUUCAAGAUUUAAUGUAAAUGAGGGAGAACAGAGAGCGUGAGGGAGGGGCCAAGGACAAAGAUGGACUAAAAGUCAGGCAUGCACUUUAUGAGCACAGCACUGCUUGUGCAAUUAUUACAAACAUAUUUAGAAGAAAACAAAAUGCUUUUCAAGAUCACACAGAAGGUCUAAAAUGUUAAAACAGGGAAAAAGGGCUCAGCAAAAGUUAAAACCAUAUAAGGGAAGAAAGUUAUUUUUUCACCAGCAAAGGAAAAAACUUUUCUUCCAGCGAAUCUUACAGCACAAAAGACACUGGCCUCAAUCACCUGUUUAAGUCAGGAAUCUUCAAAUUUUUUUACGAAGAGAAACUAUUUAAAAUUUUCCCAGAGCCUCGACAUUAUUCAGAGAAGGAGGGAAAGAGAGUAGAGAAAAAGAAGGAAAAGAGCCUAGUGGUGCCAGUGGUACCUCCAAGGCAGAAGGAAGUUUCAGUCCAAUACCAGCCACUAUUUCCUGAGCCUGUACUGUGCCAGGCACCAUGCAAAAUGCUUCACAUACAUCAACUCAUUUAAUCCUCACAAGAGCCACACCCUUCAUUGCUAUCCUAGAGAUUCUAGUCUUAAUUCUAUUUUACAUCUUACAUAACUUUCCCCAGGCCACACAGCUCAUAAAUGGCAGAGCUACAAUUCAAACCAGGGCCUGUCUAAUACCAAGGCUCAGGUUUUUCUGUCUCCUGGCUGCCACAGACUCCUUCUGAGAGAAUCUCAGGAAGCCAACCAUGGCUUUACCAGGCUUAAUAGUGGAAGAUGGUUUGGAAAGCUAUCAGGUAUACCUUCAAGUUCUUUCAAAACUAUAAUUGGAGAUAUGAGUUUCAGAAAUCUGGGUUUACCAUUACAAAACAACUGGCAGUUUUCUUUCUUUGGUAAAAAUGUUCUGGAAAGCCAAAAUUGCUGUGCUAUGGUCAUUCCUUAGCCAAGUCUGCAUUUUAACAUCCAACUAAUUGAGAUGAGUGGAGACAUCUGUAAGCUUAUUUUAAAAAAGACAAAUCUCUCGAUGUGUAAUAACAGCAGUACCAUUUACUGAGGGCUUGCUAUGUGCUAAGCACUACUUGUCAAUUUACGUGGCAUCAAAGAUUAACAAGCUGAGAGCUAAGCACUAGGAAUACAAAUGCAUCAAAUGGGGAGCCCGUAGCAUAGCCUCUUUGGAGGCUUACAACCUUAAUGGGGAGACAGACAAGCAAGCUGACUGCUGCAGGGGAAUAUGCGAAGGGUGCGCCUCACCAUCUGGGCACAAAGCACUGCAAGGUGCAGAAAAGCACUGGUUUGUAUUUGAAAAAGCUUCUUAAAGGAAGGGGUGUUUCCUCACAACAAUCCUAUGAAGUUGGGAGGAACCUGAUGGUCAGAAAGGUUAAGUAAUGCAAAGGUACACAGCUAUGAAAUAAGUUGAGCCCAAGGUCACCUCACUUUGAAGCCACACUUUCCAUCAGUUCCUGUGGCAUCACAGAAAAAUAAUCUCCUUAAAUCUCUUGCCACAUGAUUACUUUUACCUUACAGGGGAAAAAACAAAACAAAUACCGACACUAACUUCUAGGUACUCCUUAGAGUCAUAUUAAUACGGCUCUAGUCAUUAAAGCGUUUUCACAUUCACACUUUCAUUUGAGUCUAAUGAUCUUGUGAGAAGCAAAUAUAUUAUUAUUGUUCCCCUUUUUUACACAUCACAAAACUGAGGCCCAGGAAAGUAAUAUAACUUGUUCAGGGUCAUGCAAAAGGUAAGAGCUCACGUUAGGCUGCUUGAAUGUCUAACUCCUAGGUCAGCCGUCUUGGCACCACAAAAC